UAAUAUUAGUCCAUAACUGAAAGUAACUGCUGGAACUUCUAUAACCUUUAGCAAGAAUUCGUUACUCAGCAACAAUUAACACACCUAUAAAAAGUAACACAUUUCAGUGCAAAAUUCGGUUAGAUCUUGUAGAAAUAGCUUAUAUUUUCCAGAAUUUGUCUUCUUUCCAGGAUCAUUUUGGCAUUUCUGCCUCUUAUACGUAUGAGACACAUUGUUGAAGAUUUGCUUUGGGAUCCAAAAUAUUUAAAUUCAUCAUGAAACCUUGCAAAAUGGUCGCGGCAGCAGCAUGGAGAGUAGGGAGGACCAGAUCUUCUGCAAGAGGUUCCAGCUCCUCAUGGGGAUUCCCCAGCAUCCCCAGGCCAGCUGGGAGAUAUGAUCCCUCCAGCGUGUCAAAAUAUCUGUGCCUUCUUUUAUAAAAUGGAUAUGAUCCUGACAUAUUAAAGUGGUAUUGUGAGGCAUAGUGUUUCUAAAUACCGUUUGAGAACAUCAGAGGAAAAGAAUUUUGUAAAUGCAAAGUAUAGUUAACAAUAGUUAUUAUAGUGAAGUAUCUUUACCAUGCAUGUGCGUCAUACUUAAGGCUGUGUGUCUGUCACUGACGUCACAGAAGUCACGGAUUCUGUGACUUUCUGUGACCUCCGUGACUUUUGCAACUGGCUCAGGGGCUACCCGAAAAGUUGAUGUUGGGACAAUACCAAAUUAUUAUUAAGCAACUAUAAAUUGCUGUGACUGAUAUGAAUAAAUGUGGCAAGCAUGA